rnacentral:rRNA from 1 species
UACGAAGGGGGCUAGCGUUGCUCGGAAUUACUGGGCGUAAAGGGCGCGUAGGCGGCCUGUUAAGUCGGACGUGAAAUCCCCGGGCUCAACCCGGGAACUGCGUCCGAUACUGGCAGGCUUGAAUCCGGGAGAGGGAUGUGGAAUUCCAGGUGUAGCGGUGAAAUGCGUAGAUAUCGGGAGGAACACCGGUGGCGAAGGCGGGUCUCUGGGCCGAUACUGACGCUGAGGAGCGAAAGCGUGGGGAGCGAACAGG